ACUCCUACGGGAGGNAGCAGUGAGGAAUCUUCCACAAUGGACGCAAGUCUGAUGGAGCGACACCGCGUGAAGGAUGAAGGUCUAACGAUUGUAAAACUUCUUUUCUGAGGGAGCAUAAUGAGAGUACCUCAGGAAUAAGGGACGGCUAAUUACGUGCCAGCAGCCGCGGUAAUACGUAAGUCUCAAGCGUUAUCCGGAAUUACUGGGUGUAAAGGGUUCGCAGGCGGACAUUUAAGUCAGGUAUGAAAGACCGGAGCUCAACUCCGAGUUUGUGCUUGAAACUGAAUGAACUAGAAUUAGGGAGAGGUAAGUCGGAAUUCU
rnacentral:rRNA from 1 species